GUGACAAUUUGCCCCCUUUAAUAGUGUAAAAGAGGAGUGUGGCUGAUUCCCUGAAUGAGACCCCCCGGUUUUAAAAAUGACUGACUCCGAGAAAGCAGGGAAAAACAGGCCUUUGAAGCAGCGUUUACCCAUAGCAUGGAGACCUUGUGCCGAACUGACGUCUCUCAGAGGGCUGAAGUGUCUUCAGAGAUACAGCUAAUCAGGGCCUCGGCAGCUUUUGGGCUGUAUGUUAUUAAAUCCUCACCCGAGCUGAAAUUUAAGGUCCAAAGUGCCAUGACUGCAUUCCUGGACAGGACGGGUGUAGUCUCAUGGGUGACACAGCAAGGUGGAUGGGAAAAAGUGAAAGACGUUUGAGACUGAAUCUUGCCCUACCAGCCUCUGUAAUGAAUGCCUACCUGAACAACAUUCCACCAGUUGAACUUGUGGAGCCACUGUAUCAGUCUGUAAUCUGUCUGUUCAGGGUUCUUUAUCACAGGCAGACAUCUAAUCAGACACUAAACCUCUUCCUUAGAAUUUCAGUGCUUUCACAUUGCCUUUCUGUUUCAGACAAUCUGGUGCUAACCCCAUGUUGUAUUGAUGCAGUUUAUGGGAGUUGAUUAAAAGGAUUGCAGCUGCCAUUGAAAUUUUUCCCUUCUCAGUGACUUGCAUUGGUUGAUAAAUAGCUAAAAUAGUAAUCUAAAGUAGAUCAUUGUAAUGCAAAAAAAUUUCAAUAAGUCACUUUUAUUCUCAUAAAUGAUUAGCGCUACUUCCGCAUUAUGGGGCCCAUAGAGCAUGCACACUACAGAACUCUUUCGGCCAAGCCGGCUACUCCCGUUUAGCACUCCGCUAACUUGUGCGGCACUUUUAAGACUUUCCAAAUGUUAUCGGGCCAAAUGAAUAAAAUUCUGAUAGUAAAACGAAUCAUUUCGCAGGGGUUGUGACCAUUAAAGUCUAUGGGGGGAAAGUAUUUUUGGGCCAGAGGGCAUCACGCUACAGAUCCGGAAGUUGCAAUUCUGUUUGGCCACUAUGUCAAAUUGUCUUCAAAGCCCAACGUGCAUGUGCAAAAGUCUCUCAGACCACUUGAAUCACAAUAUGCUAAAAGAUUAUGGAAUUUUUUGCCAACGAUGCCAAAAAUAAACUGCCUACCACAGCUUCAAUUUGAAU